rnacentral:lncRNA from 1 species
GAGUUUGCAUCUCUGAGGCUGGAGAUGAAGAUGGUGGUAGUGGUGGGGGAGGGGGUGGGUAGAAAUAAUGAGGUCAGGGCCGGGCGCAGUGGCUCAUGCCUGUAAUCCCAGCACUUCGGAAGGCCGAGGCAGGUGGAUCACCUGAGGUCAGGAGUUUGAGACCAGCCUGACCAACAUGGUGAAACCCCAUCUGCAAUAAAAAUACAAAAAUUUUAGCCGGGCUUGGUGGCAGGCGCCUGUACUCCCAGCUACUUGAGAGGAGGCUGAGGCAGAAGAAUCACUUGAACCCCAGAGUCGGAAGUUGCAGUGAGCCAAGACUGCGCCACUGCAAUCCAGCCUGGGCAAAAGAGCGAGACUCCAUCUCAAAAAUAAUAACAAUAAUAAUAAUGAGGUCAAUUCCAGACGUGCUUUUGGGACGUCUGUGGGCAUAUAGUCUGGAGCUAAGAAGAGACAUCAAGGCCAGUUAGAGAAAUCGAGAACAAUUAAAGUACGGAGGGUAGUUGAAAGCAUG